rnacentral:rRNA from 1 species
GGGGAAUAUUGGACAAUGGACCAAAAGUCUGAUCCAGCAAUUCUGUGUACACGAUGACGUUUUUCGGAAUGUAAAGUGCUUUCAGUCGGGAAGAAGCAAGUGACGGUACCGACAGAAGAAGCGACGGCUAAAUACGUGCCAGCAGCCGCGGUAAUACGUAUGUCGCGAGCGUUAUCCGGAUUUAUUGGGCGUAAAGCGCGUCUAGGCGGCAAGAAAAGUCUGAUGUGAAAAUGCGGGGCUCAACCCCGUAUUGCGUUGGAAACUGCCUUGCUAGAGUACUGGAGAGGUAGGCGGAACUACAAGUGUAGAGGUGAAAUUCGUAGAUAUUUGUAGGAAUGCCGAUGGGGAAGCCAGCCUACUGGACAGAUACUGACGCUAAAGCGCGAAAGCGUGGGUAGCAAAC